rnacentral:sRNA from 1 species
AUCUGAGAACAAUUGGCAAGAAAUUCCUCCCCAGUGACAUCAAUAGUGGAAAGGUAGAAAAGCUCGAAGGUCCAUGUGUUUUGCAAAUUCAAAAAAUUCGCAAUGUUGCUGCACCAAAGGAUAAUGAAGAAUCUCAGGCUGCACCAAGGAUGCUGCGAUUACAGAUGACUGAUGGUCAUAUAAGUUGCACAGCAGUAGAAUUUAGUUAUAUGUCAAAAAUAAGGUGAUUGGCACUUUAUUUUGUGUAUUUGUUACAGAAUGUUGAAGGUGCUAUUCAAUUGGAAUAACUUAAGAAUUUUGAAAAGUAGGAAUGGACCCUUAAUUGUGUGUUACAGUUUUUCAGAUGAAAUUAUAGAGCUUUUCUGCAUUUCUGCUUCACCUGUAUAAAAAUAGUUAAGAAUAUAUGGCCAGGCGUGGUGGCUCAAGCCUGUAAUCCCAGCACUUUGGGAGGCCAAGGAGGACGGAUCACCCGAGGUCAGGAGUUCAAGACCAGCCUGACCAAUGUGGUGAAACCCUGUCUCUACAAAAUACAAGAAUUAGCCAGGCAUGAUGGCGGGUGCCGGUAAUCCCAGCUACUUGGGAGGCUGAGGUGGGAGAAUAGCUUGAACCUGGUAGGCGGAGGUUGCAGUGAGCUGAGAUCAUGCCAUUGCACUUCAGCCUGGGUGACAGUGGGACUGUGUCUCAAAAAUAUAUAUAUAUAAAAUAAAAAUAAAUUAAAAAAUA